GACGGAGGAUGCAAGUUGUUAUCCGGAAUCACUGGGCGUAAAGCGUCUGUAGGUGGUUUAAUAAGUCAACUGUUAAAUCUUGAGGCUCAACCUCAAAAUCGCAGUCGAAACUAUUAGGCUAGGGUAUAGUAGGGGUAAAGGGAAUUUCCAGUGGAGCGGUGAAAUGCGUAGAGAUUGGAAAGAACACCCGAUGGCGAAGGCACUUUACUGGGGCUACUUACUAACACUCAGAGACGAAAGCUAGGGUAGCAAAGUGGG
rnacentral:rRNA from 1 species